GGAAAUCUUUUACUGAAAGUGAGUAAGAUUCCUGCAGAUGUACAGGCUAAAGGUGGUCCUCUUAGUAUCAGUGGAGAGGUACUGUAGCUCAUGCCAUCAAUCUCAGUGGACUGAGGGAAGUGUGUGUUAGGAGAGUGGAUAAAGAUGAAGUGACACUUGAUUUGGUUGAAUUCAUAUUUAAAAAUCAGAGAAAUCAGAUUCAGAUUGAAAUCAGAGACUUUUUUUGACAUUUCCUCUCUGGUCUGGAGUCAAACCAUCAAGGAGCCCAUGGUAGAUGAAAGCUCAUCCUCUGAGAGUCUUUG